GGUACUUGGAAAAAAGAUAUGUUUUAAUACAGUAUAUGUUGUCACUCUUUCUUCCAUUUAUGUGUGCAUCUGUAUCGAAUAGGAGUAUGUCUUCAUUUCAUAUAUGAGUAUACACAUAUGAUGCAUCACACUAUAGAACACAAGCUUCUAUUCCUUCUGAUGUAAUAAUACCCCUAGCCAUUCUAUGUCCUUUCAUGUACGCAGAAUCUUGUCUGCUUACACAAAUGAACUUAUACUGAGAAUCAGAAACUACCAGUCAGCUGGUGUUUAAUGAGAAAGAAUUAUAAAGAUAUGUGGUCACAGGCCUGAAUAAAGCAGAAAAGGUUAGAAGGAGCCCUGAAGAAGAGAGGUUUGGAAAAAACAACAGUGUUUGGUGGGUCAUGGGAGGUUUAUGGAGCAUAGGAUGAACAUGGUGGGCACAGCAAGGGAGGAUAAAGCCUGAAGUGCUAAGACAACAAGAAGAGCAGGGUUCAGAAGUUCAGCAGAACGAGAGAAAGAAGGGCUUUGGGAAGUGCCCAGAAGUUCAGAGCAACCCUGUCAGAAAGCCUGUUUUGCUAGGACAUAGUGCAGGAAGAACUUUGCUGGCAAACUCUCACUACAUUUCAUUCUAGGCUUCUUCCACAGUGAGAAGUUUGUUCCUUCAUCUUAUGUUCAAAUAAAAACUGGCUUUCAAUUUAA